rnacentral:rRNA from 1 species
AUUGAACGCUGGCGGCAUGCUUUACACAUGCAAGUCGAACGGCAGCGCGGGCUUCGGCCUGGCGGCGAGUGGCGAACGGGUAAGUAAUACCUCGGAACGUGCCCAGUAGUGGGGGAUAGCGCGGCGAAAACCGGAUUAAUACCGCAUAAGACCUGAGGGUGAAAGCGGGGGAUGUUCGGACCUCGAGUUAUUGGAGCGGGCGAUGGCAGCUUAGCUAGUCGGUGGGGUAAAGACCUACCAAGGCGACGAUUUGUAGCUGGUCAGGGAGGACACCCAGCCACGGUGCGACUGGAACACGGCCCAGACUCCUACGGGAGGCAGGAGUGGGGAAUUUUGGACAGUGGGAGAAAGGCUGAUCCAGCAAUGCGGCGUGUGUUGUGAAGGCCUUCGGGUGGUAAAGCACAUGGGGCAGGAACGGAGAGGACUGUGCCAAUGCCACGAUUCGAUGACGGUACCCGCAGAAUAAGCACCGGCUAACUACGUG